AGCAGUAUGGCUUAGUAGAUAGAGCAUGGGCUUUGGAGUCAGAGGAUCUGGGUUCUAAUCCCAGUUCUACCA
rnacentral:tRNA from 1 species